UACGUAGGGUGCAAGCGUUGUCCGGAAUUAUUGGGCGUAAAGCGCUCGCAGGUGGUUCGUCGCGUCGUGCGUGAAAGACCCCGGCUCAACUGGGGAGUGUCGUGCGAUACGGGCGGACUGGAGGCCAGUAGGGGGAUGCGGAAUUCCGGGUGUAGUGGUGGAAUGCGUAGAGAUCCGGAGGAACACCAGCGGCGAAGGCGGCAUCCUGGACUGGUCCUGACACUCAGGAGCGAAAGCGUGGGGAGCGAUCCGG
rnacentral:rRNA from 1 species